AGGCUCCUGAAGAUAACCCUGGGUCAAGUGGAAAAGGACAUGUUUGAUAUAUUUUCUGUUAUUCUGAAGUCCUUGAAGAAAAGGGACUGGAAUCCUGUGGCUGGAGUGCUCUUUGGUGCAUAGGCUGGUAAAUUAGCCUGCUGCUUAUAUACUAUUUUUGUAAAAUGUGUUUCUGAAGCGAUUCUGAACAUUAACAGUGGUGCGCAGGGGCAAAACAGGGCUUGCGUGUUACAAAGGGCUACAGGAGAAAUGUGCGGUGGGUCCUCUAGUGGAGUCUCCAUGCCGGUCCUAUUUAGGCUAAAGUGGAGAGACUGCACGAUCUGUGCUACCCUGGCUCCAGCGGCCCUAUGAAUCAGUGCAAGAGGCACAGAAGAACUGCAGAUACUAUACCAGCCUUGGCUGCAAGGCCUCCUCUGAAGCACUGUGUCAUGACCAGGAGGUAGAUGUUGCUUCCUGCAUGGCUUUAUGAUGCUGGAGUAAAUUUCAACAUUAAUUAUUUCAAUCUGAUUCCUUCAUAUUACCCAAGAUUCAAGAUGUUAAAAAAGAACAGCAGUGAAAUGUCACUGCCAUGGCUGCUCAGGUGAAGGGAAGAUCACAAAUCAUGUAUGGCAAGUCCCCCACACACACACCCAAAGUGAUUCCCGCCUCAUCACCGAAAGCACGUUCCGGAGCUGUUACUGGCUAUGAUAGAAGUAUACCUA